rnacentral:misc_RNA from 1 species
GGCAGAUGCAUUUUGCAAACAAGCUCGGCACGAGUUAGCACUCAGUGUUCUCCAGCAAUCAACUAGGACAUAAGCUGUCUCGUUCGUGGCCCCAGGCACUGCCAAUUCAGCACGGGCAUAGCCAUUAUUUUUUGGUGCAUUAGCUACUGCCUGCUGAACAGCCUGCCUAGCUGUUUGUUGGAACAAAGAAUUCUUUCUGGUUCUAUUUCCACAAACAUGUGUGUCUUCAGGUCCUAAAUACUGGUGAUCAAACGUGUAAUUCUCAGCUCGCAUAAAGCA